rnacentral:tRNA from 1 species
GCCGCGAUGGUGUAACCUGGUUAGCAUUGAGGAUUGUGGUGAUCAUUAUUAGCACAAUCUGCAAAUUUCCUUAGGUGCGAGUUCAAAUCUCGCUCGCGGCA